GCGGAUGUGGCGGAACUGGCAGACGCGCUAGAUUCAGGUUCUAGUGCCCGCAAGGGCGUGGAGGUUCGAGUCCUCUCAUCCGCACCA
rnacentral:tRNA from 1 species